UACAGAGGGUGCGAGCGUUGUCCGGAAUCACUGGGCGUAAGGGGCGCGUAGGCGGCUUGAUAAGGUUGCGGUGAAAGCCCGGGGCUCAACCCCGGGUCGGCCGUGGCAACUGUCGAGCUGGAGCACUGUAGAGGCAGGUGGAAUUCCGGGUGUAGCGGUGGAAUGCGUAGAGAUCCGGAAGAACACCGGUGGCGAAGGCGGCCUGCUGGGCAGUGGCUGACGCUGAGGCGCGACAGCGUGGGGAGCAAACAGG
rnacentral:rRNA from 1 species